GAUGAAGAACGUAGCGAAAUGCGAUAAGUAGUGUGAAUUGCAGAAUUCAGUGAAUCAUCGAAUCUUUGAACGCACAUUGCGGCCAUAGGUAUUCCUUUGGCCAUGCCUGUUCGAGCGUCAUUUACACCCUCAAGCCUAGCUUGGUGUUGGGCGUCUGUCCCGCCGUUCUCGCGCGCGGACUCGCCUCAAAGUCAUUGGCGGCGGUCGUGCCGGCCCCCUCGCGCAGCACAUUUGCGCUUCUCGGAGGCCCGGCGGAUCCGCGCUCCAGCAAGACCUUUCACGACUUGACCUCGGAUCGGGUAGGGAUACCCGCUGAACUUAAGCAUAUCAAUAAGCGGAGGA
rnacentral:misc_RNA from 1 species